ensembl:lncRNA
UCCACUCCCUAGCCCCCUUGGCCUUAGCUCCCUGCAACCCCCACAACCAGGCAAAGCCCAAAUACAGAGACGCGGCUCUUGCUCUUGCCUCCCUCCCCACUGCGGGGGCUUCCCCUCCCUGGGGUGGUCUACCCCCGACACCCCUGGGCUGGGGGAGGACUCAGGCCUGGCCCUGCCCUGGUUGGGGGGUCGAGGGGGCCUGGAAGAGGUCUGAAAUUGGGGCUAGGAGAUGGCUCUGAGGUGCGUAGCUCCCGCCUACCAUGGAGUUGCAUCAAGACAGGACACCCACCUGACACUGGUAGAAAGGUGGAGGGAGACCCCCCAGAUGCCAGCAGUUUCGGGGGCAUGAAUUUGGUGAGUUUUUCUCAUGUCUGUAUUUUGCUGAUUUUCUUGAACGGGCAUCUUCUACUUGUGUAAUUUCUGAAAGGCUCCUGCAUGGGCCCCAGGGAGCGUGAAUGCGUCUGGGGGCGACUUGAGGCACUGAUGCUUUCAGAAGAACACUGGAGUCGGGGGCAUGAAGGGACAGGCAGGGGUGCCAAGGGAGGACUUCCUAGAGGAGGUGAGCUCUGCAGGGGGCCUUGAAGGGAGAGUGGGUGUGUCCCAGGUGAGGAAUUCCAGGAAGCUUUAUCCAGGCAGAGAGAAUGGGGAGAUCUGUGCCUGGGGUGAGUGAAGCUGGGACCGGAGUCUGGGGAAGAGGCUCACCUGUGUGUGCCCUGGGCUCUGGAAGUAAAGGGCCUGGCUCUGGCCCCCGGCCCCUCAGCUCGGCCCUCUUCCCUUGGCAGACCAGUGUGGACGCACAUUGGGUGUCCUCGGCCGGGUCAGUCCUUCCCAGCCCUGCCCUGCCGUCCAGCUGUAAGAGGCCCUGAUUGGACGAGCGCUGGGCUGGGCUGAGUGCUUCCCUCACUGUCUGGGGGUCAGUGCUCUGUCCAGUGCCACACCGUGGCUCGUCCGGGCCUCCAGAGCGCUCAGAGACGGGAAGGCUCGCCUGUGCUCCCCGGGGGCACCGUUGAGGGCCACAAACAAUGCACACGAUGGUGCCUCACUGUGCUUGGCUGGGUGGGACCAAGACGCCCUUCCCGAGAUUCCAUGAUUCCGGGGGACUCGGACCCUUCCUCAGAAGCUGCCCUUGGACGGCCGCCCAGCGUUGACUUCCAGCCUCACCUCUUACUCACAGGAGACCUGGGGCAAGAUGGCAUCCCCACCUGGAGGGGGUGGUGAUUCUGGCCUCGGCCCCGCCUUCUCUCAUCUGACCAAGGCCAGGCUCCACCCUGGGACCUGAUGGUGGGGGUGGGCGGGGUAUCCAUCAAUCUGGGGUCUCCUGCCCUCCACGAGGGUGUCGCCCAUAGACUGCAGCCCCCAAGUUCCCCGAGCCAGACUUGGGGACCCCAGAUGUUGCGGACCAAAGCAGGCCCACGUUCCCAAAUGAGCUGCAUUCCAGACCCGGAGUGGCCCUGGCAAAGACCCCAGGUUCGACCAGCCCCAGCCUCCUGGGCCUCAGUUCCCCCAGUGUAGAGCCAGGGCUAGGGCGGUGGCCACCGGGGCAGGCAGAGGUGGGCG